rnacentral:rRNA from 1 species
UACGUAGGGUCCGAGCGUUGUCCGGAAUUACUGGGCGUAAAGGGCUCGUAGGCGGCCAACUAAGUCAGACGUGAAAUCCCCCGGCUUAACCGGGGAACUGCGUCUGAUACUGGAUGGCUCGAGUUUGGGAGAGGGAUGCGGAAUUCCAGGUGUAGCGGUGAAAUGCGUAGAUAUCUGGAGGAACACCGGUGGCGAAGGCGGCAUCCUGGACCAACACUGACGCUGAGGAGCGAAAGCCAGGGGAGCAAACGGG